rnacentral:rRNA from 1 species
UACGUAGGGGGCGAGCGUUAUCCGGAUUUACUGGGCGUAAAGCGCGUGUAGGUGGUUGCGCAAGUUAGAUGUGAAAUCCCUCGGCUUAACCGAGGAACUGCAUCUAAUACUGCGUGGCUAGAGUGGCAGAGAGGAAAGUGGAAUUCCCGGUGUAGUAGUGAAAUGCGUAGAUAUCGGGAGGAACACCAGCGGCGAAGGCGACUUUCUGGCUGCUAACUGACACUGAGACGCGAAAGCUAGGGGAGCGAACGG